rnacentral:misc_RNA from 1 species
UUAAAAAAAAAAAAAAAAAAGGUUAAUAUGUAUCAUGCAAGGUUCCAUUCUAUGUUAUAAUAUGGUAAUCAAGUGUUUCUUAUGAUUUCAAUUAUAUAAUAUACAUGUUUAUCGGGCAGUUUGUUAGUAUCUGAUGCCUUGCCUUUACCAAAUUCUCUCACUUUUUGUCAUAUAAGUUCUUUGCAAAUCAUAUUCAAGUAAGUGAUAAUAGUAUUGAAACUUUUUUGAGUCUAUCUAUUACAAAUUGAAAGAAAGUAUUUCAUGGUGCAUCCUGAGAGAAAUUCGUGAAACAAGUUGUCAAGUUUUAUUUGUUUGUUUGUCAUCUUUUAUUCCACACCAUAUGCAUAUCACUUUCAUAGUCACAACACUAGAAAUUCAUUAAUUUAUGGAAGUGAAAGUGAAUUUCUACUUACACUUGAUGUUCCGUCCGCAAGCGGCUAGUCUGCUUC